UACGUUCCCCAGUAUUGCGUUAGUCGGCGCACGACGUUGACGUAAGCAGGAGCCCACAUUGCUUUUCAACCAUCAAAAAUGCCCAGAAUACGUUUGCGGAAGGCCAAAAGAGCGCAGUGUGAUAUCAAAAAAUAUAAUGAUGCGGAUGAAGAAGUGAAACAAGGGAUUUCGUACGUGUAGCUCAAGCUACAAGCCUUUCUACAGCUACAAGUUUUAACAGAGAAAAUGUUGUAUUGUUGAUUGUUAAAACUAUGUUUGUAAGCUUAUUAUAUUAAACAUUUCUACAAUAAAAGAUAUUAUAGACCA
rnacentral:lncRNA from 1 species